rnacentral:rRNA from 1 species
UCAUUACAGAGUUGCAAAACUCCAACUACCCAUCGCGAAUCUACCCCGUACGUCUGCCUCGGCGCUGGCGAUCCGGAAGGCCCUCGGGCCCCCGGAUCCUCGGGUCUCCCGCUCGCGGGAGGCUGCCCGCCGGAGUGCCGAAAACAAACUCUUGAUAUUUUAUGUCUCUCUGAGUAAACUUUUAAAUAAGUCAAAACUUUCAACAACGGAUCUCUUGGUUCUGGCAUCGAUGAAGAACGCAGCGAAAUGCGAUAAGUAAUGUGAAUUGCAGAAUUCAGUGAAUCAUCGAAUCUUUGAACGCACAUUGCGCUCGCCAGUAUUCUGGCGAGCAUGCCUGUUCGAGCGUCAUUUCAACCAUCAAGCUCUGCUUGCGUUGGGGAUCCGCGUCUGACGCGGUCCCUCAAAAACAGUGGCGGGCUCGCUAGUCACACCGAGCGUAGUAACUCUACAUCGCUAUGGUCGUGCGGGGGGUUCUUGCCGUAAACCCCCAAU